rnacentral:rRNA from 1 species
AGUAAUGGCAGGUCAGCAUACUGCCGUGAAUACGUUCCCGGGCCCUUGUACACACCGCCCGUCACACCAUGAGAGUUGGGAAUACCCGAAGCCUGUGAGCUAACGUUAAGAGGCAGCAGUCGAAGGUAGAAUCAAUGAUUGGGGUGAAGUCGUAACAAGGUAAC